rnacentral:lncRNA from 12 species
CCCCCCCCGCCGGCCGCGGCUGGAACGGAGCGGAGCCGCGGGAUGCGGGAGUGGAGAACCUGGAUUACCUGGGACAGACAGAGAGAGAGAGAGAGAGAGCAUCGGCACCGGGGAAUCCUGAAUUACCUGGGAGAGAGAGAGAGAGCAUCGGCACCGGGGAAUCCUGAAUUACCUGGGAGAGAGAGAGAGAGCAUCGGCACCGGGGAAUCCUGAAUUACCUGGGAGAGAGAGAGAGAGCAUCGGCACCGGGGAAUCCUGAAUUACCUGGGAGAGAGAGAGAGAGCAUCGGCACCGGGGAAUCCUGAAUUACCUGGGAGAGAGAGAGAGAGCAUCGGCACCGGGGAAUCCUGAAUUACCUGGGAGAGAGAGAGAGAGCAUCGGCACCGGGGAAUCCUGAAUUACCUGGGACACAGAGAGAGAGAGAGAGCAUCGGCAUUGGGGAAUCCUGAAUUACCUGGGACAGAGAGAGAGAGAGAGCAUCAGCACUGGGGAAUCCUGAAUUACAUGGGAGAGAGAGAGAGCAUCAGCACCGACCAGCAGCAGUCACUCCUGUCCUGGCAGGGGUCACUCUGGUCCUGGCAGGGGUCACUGCAUCACGGACCGUUCCAGCCCAGCAGGAAUCACCGGGAACACUCAGGAACGGAGGGAGAGCUGCAUCCCGGGGUGCUGUGCUGCAGGUAUCAGCUCUGAGGAGCCAGGAAAACCCUUCAGCGCCUCUGGGGAAUCCUAAACUUCA